AUGAGUGAUAAAACUGUCGCGUCUGCAACACUCAUUAGGCAAAGAAGCUAAUAUUAGAUCAUCUCAGAUAAGAUCGAAUAUUAAUUAAUUAAAAGGUACACAAAUAAUAAAAGGGAAGUUGAAAAAAUAGCUUCGAGCAGGAAUCCAAGUCUACUAUCUCUACAACAUCAAAUUAUAGAGUUCUGAAAAAUAAUCUUUAAGAUGUUGAAAGCUGAAUUAUGAAUGUGCAAAAUACUGCAACAACCACAGGGCACAUGCGAUGUCCCAUAGGAACUGUGUUAGUAUGAUGCCAAAACAUAUAUAUAUUUUCAAAUAGAGCAUUAAAGAAAAUGAUGACCAUCUCCGUGAACGAAAGACAUAUAAUCCAUAUGAAGAUUUUCAUGAGUUGUUGCAGUCCAUUUUUGGCCUUGUAUUUCCCUAUCGAUGUGCCCCAUCAAUAUAUAUACAUAUAAAUAUGAACGUGGUCCAGCAAUACAAUGGCAAUGGUUGUGAUGUGAAUAUAACUAGGGUUACAUUGAAGUGGUAAAAAAGAUUGAGAGAUGAAUAUGUGAUAUAAUU
rnacentral:misc_RNA from 1 species